AUCCCUGAGUAAUAAUGCCAUAUCUCAAUAGUAGGUCAAAGAGUGGCUCUAACAUGGUCUUCAUGGUUAAAGGUCUCUUCACUUAUUCUUUAAAUAAAUAUUUACUGCGCAUCUAUUAUGUGCCUCUCCAUCUUCCAGGUUCUGGGAAAACAACAAAAUCAAAAUAUAUUAUAUCCUUGCCCCAUGGAAUUUGUGUUCCCAGAAGUAUGCAAAUGAAAAAAAUAAUUUUAAGAGUAAGAAUUGCAAGGAAGGAAAUGAACCAGGUGAUCCAAUAGAAUAGUAAGAAAGACUUCACAUUUUGUAUAUAGUUGUCAAUUAAAGCUGUACUGAGAAGAGCUGAAUGUUGUAAAGAAGCCAGACAACCAGAUGAGAAGCUCCUGGGAUGAGUGUUGCCAUCAGGCCACCCGUAAAUUAACUGAGUGAAUUACCCUCACCUGGCUUCUGCCUCAUCUGUUCCAUACCAAAUUAUAUCUACAUGGUUCCUGCUGUCACAUACCUGCCUCAGGCAAAGCCUCCUGUUUGGACUUUUCAUUCUCAUAUUUAUGGUUACCGUGAGCCUUGAGGUUGGCAAAAAUUUAUUUUUUAUUUGAUGAUAUUGAUGAUUCUCAUAUUCUGAAAAUUUGGGAGAAAAUU